rnacentral:rRNA from 1 species
UACGUAGGGGUCGAGCGUUGUCCGGAGUUACUGGGCGUAAAGGGCUCGUAGGCGGCCAACUAAGUCAGACGUGAAAUCCCCAGGCUCAACCUGGGAACUGCGUCUGAUACUGGAUGGCUUGAAUUCGGGAGAGGGAUGCAGAAUUCCAGGUGUAGCGGUGAAAUGCGUAGAUAUCUGGAGGAAUACCGGUGGCGAAGGCGGCAUCCUGGACCGACAUUGACGCUGAUGAGCGAAAGCUAGGGGAGCAAACGGG